UACCGGCGGCUCGAGUGGUGGCCGCUAUUACUGGGCUUAAAGGGUCCGUAGCUGGAUAUACAAGUCCCUUGAGAAAUCCGCCGGCUUAACCGGUGGGCGUUCAGGGGAAACUGUAUUUCUAGGGACCGGGAGAGGUGAGAGGUACUGCCGGGGUAGGAGUGAAAUCCUGUAAUCCCGGUGGGACCACCUAUGGCGAAGGCAUCUCACCAGAACGGGUCCGACAGUGAGGGACGAAAGCUGGGGGAGCAAACCGGAUUAGAUACCCGGGUAGUCCCAGCUGUAAACGAUGCGCGUUAGGUGUGUCAGUGACCACGUGUCACUGAGGUGCCGAAGGGAAACCGUGAAACGCGCCGCCUGGGGAGUACGGUCGCAAGGCUGAA
rnacentral:rRNA from 1 species